UCCAGACUCCUACGGGAGGCAGCAGUGGGGGAUAUUGCACAAUGGGGGGAACCCUGAUGCAGCGACGCCGCGUGGGUGAAGAAGCGCCUCGGCGCGUAAAGCCCUGUCAGCAGGGAAGAAAAUGACGGUACCUGAAGAAGAAGCCCCGGCUAACUACGUGCCAGCAGCCGCGGUAAUACGUAGGGGGCAAGCGUUAUCCGGAUUCACUGGGUGUAAAGGGAGCGUAGACGGCCAUGCAAGCCUGGAGUGAAAGCCCGGGGCCCAACCCCGGGACUGCUCUGGGAACUGUGCGGCUGGAGUGCGGGAGGGGCAGGCGGAAUUCCUGGUGUAGCGGUGAAAUGCGUAGAUAUCAGGAGGAACACCGGCGGCGAAGGCGGCCUGCUGGACCGCGACUGACGUUGAGGCUCGAAAGCGUGGGGAGCAAACAGGAUUAGAUACCCUUGUAUC
rnacentral:rRNA from 1 species